UCCAAUUUGAAGGUUCUAUAAAUUUUCCGUCUAUAAGAAAAGCUAGUUAGCUUAAAAUUGUAUGAGAAUGGAGAUGAAGGAUAGCUUGAAUUGUUCAUUUUCAUCAAUGGAGUAUAUAGAUAAUAUGAUCUUCAUUUUCAGGGUUGUCCCUUGAAAUCGAACCAAACAAGCUAAGUACAAUAUUAUGUAAGUCCUCCUAGCUAUCUACUUUCUUGCGGAGGUAGUAAUCUACCAGUUCUUCAUCUGUUGGAUGGAAUCUAAAACCCGGAGGAACAUGCGAAAAUGUAUCCAUUUUAGGGCAACAACGCCUGCAUGUCAUCA